rnacentral:rRNA from 1 species
GAUGAACGCUGGCGGCGUGCCUAAUACAUGCCAGUCGAGCGAACGGACGAGAAGCUUGCUUCUCUGAUAGUAGCGGCGGACGGGUGAGUAACACGUGGAUAACCUACCUAUAAGACUGGGAGAACUUCGGGAAACCGGAGCUAAUACCGGAUAAUAUUCUGAACCGCAUGGUUCAAAAGUGAAAGACGGUCUUGCUGUCACUUAUAGAUGGAUCCGCACUGCAUUAGCUAGUUGGUAAGGUAACGGCUUACCAAGGCAACGAUGCUUAGCCGACCUGAGAUGGUCAUCGGCCACACCGGAACUGUGACCCGGGCCCGACUCCUACGGGAGGCCGCAGCAGGCAAUCCUCCGCACUGAGAGAACGCCUGACGGAGCCACGCCGCGUGAGUGAUGAAGGUCUUCGGAUGGUAAACCUCUGUGAUUAGGGAAGAACAUAUGUGUAAGUAACGGUGCACACUUCGCCGGUACCUAAUCAGAAAGGUACGGCUAACUACGUG